ACUGGAAGCUGCUCGUCAUGGGCCUUCACCCUGACUGCCGGCUCCCGAGAUGCAAGCACAGGGGAGAUCAAGGAUGCAGGGACGCCGCCCAGGGAGGCGCUGCAGUCUCCUACUGCUGAACACCAUCAGAUGAAGGAAGAAGUUGGGAAGGCAGGUAGGGUGAAGCAAAGGGGAUGUCAGACUUACAGGAUGAGAAGAGCCUGGUUCCCUGAAUAGUGCCUGGAGGAGAUCUGCUAUCAACCAGGA